GCGGAGCGCCGAGGAGGCAGAGCGGCAUGCCCGUGUGCUGCAGGAGAUCGAAGCCCACAUUGAGGGCAUGGAGGAUCUCCAGGCCCCCCUGCGGCGGUUCCUGAGACAGGAGAUGGUUAUUGAAGUGAAGGCGAUUGGAGGCAAGAAGGACCGAUCCCUUUUCCUGUUCACAGACCUCAUUGUCUGUACCACCCUGAAACGGAAGUCGGGCUCCCUGAGGCGCAGCUCCAUGAGCCUGUACACAGCUGCCAGUGUCAUUGAUACAGCCAGCAAAUACAAGAUGCUGUGGAAGCUGCCAUUGGAAGACACAGACGUCAUCAAGGGGGCAUCUCAAGCCACCAAUCGGGA
rnacentral:lncRNA from 1 species